rnacentral:tRNA from 1 species
GGGGUUAUAGCUCAGUGGUAGAGCGCUUGCCUAGUAGGCAAGAGGCACUGGGUUCGAUCCUCAGCACCA